GACCGCGCACGCAUCCACUCCGCCCGCCCUAACGAACGAACGAAUUCGAAACAUUAUAAUACAUUUAAAUUGAUUCGUAAUUGUUAAAAACGCUGUGUUUGAAACGUGACCGCCGGAUUUUGAGUGACUGAAGUUUCCACUUGACUUUGAACGAAUGUUGGUGCUGUCAAUAGCCGGAGGCUAUUUACACGAAACCUUGAGGACUUUUUGGUUUUUUGUUGGGGCAUUUCAGGUAUACGACAAAGGGAAGAUCUUCCACCGAGCGGGUGGUUGUUUAGUAGAUCGCCACAUAAUUUCCCGUCCGUGCUGAGAUUAGCUUGCAAGUGCCAGUGCUGCUCGAAGUCUGAGGUGAGUUGAGACUGAGCUUGAAUGAUGCGUCAGUACCGUGAGUAGUCCAUGUUUGCAGAACUACCACGCUGGAGAUGCGUGACCCCAAGCGUUGAUGAUCCGGCAGUGGGCUGCGAUGAACUGUAGGGUCGUGAUGAUGCAGUGAAGGUGCGUGCCGAAGGACCAGGAAGCGCGGCGAGUCAGCUGCGAUGGAUCUGUUGAGGAUGCUGGCUUGCUGUGGGACGAGUGUUGAUGACUUGUUUAUAUCUGCGUUAAUGCGGGCAUUGUGGUACCUGCAGUUCUUGAUGCGCUGAUGAUGAAGUGUGAAAGCUGAAAUUGUUCCGUCGCAGGUCACCAGUUUGUACGACAAAGGGAAGAUCUUCCUCCGAGCGGGUAAUAUUGACCGACGCUGCGACGGUCCGAAUAUUGUUGUUCGGAACUUGAAUGUAAGCCUGUAUGCAAGCUUAUCAGGCAUCUGUCAAAUAUCUUGCGUUUGUGUGAUGGCUAUUCGCCACACUUACAUACCUGUGCAUACAUACAGUUUUCGCACCUAAUUGAAGCCCAUAGUUUUUACAACUCGAUUGAGUCAGGUAAGACUAAGAUGGAUUUCCAUGUACCGUCGUAACACUCAUCACUGGCCAAAACCUCAUCGCGACUUCUUUAAAUCAUUGCGUUCAUCUAUGUGUUUCCGAGUUAAAUUUAACAUAUACAAUUAGAUGCUGAGAUAAACUCCGCUCUAAGGCAUUGUCUGAGCGCUACAAUAAGCUUUUUUUUAUCAUGAUUUUAUUUACUUGGUAUGUGUUUAAUUAUGCAUACCUAACGGAAUUUUAUAAUCUCUAUAUAUAAAAAUGAAUUGCUGUUCAUUAGUCUCGCUAAAACUCGAGAACGGCUGAACCGAUUUGGCUAAUUUUGGUCUUGAAUUAUUUGUGGAAGUCCAGAGAAGGUUUAAAAGGUAGAUAAAUAUGAAAAUGCUCGGAAUUAAAUAAAAAUAACAAUUUUGUUUUUCCUUUGAUGAGUCCCCCGUCGGACCGAUUCCUUUUGUUUGUUUUAAGUUUAUUUUAUACAAAAAUUUAGGUCUUUUAUUUAUCGAUUGAGGCACUACGAAGUCAGCUGGGUCAGCUAGUAGUUAUAUAAAUUUGGUUUAAUAUCCUAACAGAUAAAAAAUAUUAAAUUAAUCGUUAGUUUGAUUUGCUAUUUAAACGUGUUUUUUUUUGUUUUUUUUUUAAACUACAUAAUUUAUUCAAACGAGGCUUGCAAGUAGUCGAUACGAAUAAACAAGAUUCGUACCAUUUCUUGAACGUGAUGAUCAAUAUUGACAGAUCUCUUUUGACAAAUGGCAUCAAGUCAUAUAUGACUAAAAUAAUAAUAUGUUGAAAUAGAAGAAUAUUUUAGCGGUGGUUAAAUUUUAUAUUUUUUGUUGUUUUGUAUUUUUAUAACGAAGUUUGGUAAUAUAUGCUUUUGAUUAUUGAUUGUCUUUGAAUGAAAUAUCUAAAAAUGCGAUUUGAAUAGAAAUGAACAUUCGCAUUGUACUCAAGUCGAAACAAGACAAAGGAACAUCAACUAAUACUUUGAGUAUCGCUUCGAUGAUAACUCUGAAACAUCGACCACUGUGCGAGGUGCAAACAACUAGGCCCGCCUACGAGACUACUAAAGGAACAAAAAAGAAAAUGCGCAGUCUGCCCUCGCUCCUAAAGAAUUACGCGUUCGGUACACGGGUGAAUCAUGUGGAUACAAAAAGGAAUGGGAAUCCGCGUUUGUUCGUAUCGUUGACUCGAAUAACUCGAUGCAUCGGACCGAGAUAUCAACGUACAGCUGCCGAUAUAAAUGCGUAAAUUAUUACACUAA